UACGUAGGGGGCUAGCGUUGUCCGGAAUCAUUGGGCGUAAAGAGCGUGUAGGCGGUCCGGUAAGUCCGUUGUGAAAGUCAAGGGCUCAACCCUUGAAUGCCGGCGGAUACUGUCGGGCUAGAGUCCGGAAGAGGCAAGUGGAAUUCCCGGUGUAGCGGUGAAAUGCGCAGAUAUCAGGAGGAACACCAAUGGCGAAGGCAGCUCGCUGGGACGGUACUGACACUGAGGCGCGAAAGCGUGGGGGAGCAAACAGG
rnacentral:rRNA from 1 species